GAAAUCAAUGAAAGCGGCGGUCAGCAGCGGUGGCGGUGCGGCGGCAGAAGGAGGAGAAGAGAAAGGGGAAAAAGAACGAGAUUCAAAUAGAGAGGAAUUGCGGUGAGAAAUGGAGAGGAAGAGGGAUUUGGUAAAGAGGUAAAAUUUGUGCAAGCCAUAUCCACAUGUGGUGCUGUCAUCUCAAAAGCAGCAAUUCAGGAGAUAAGAAGUACACGCAGCAGACGAUGGGGCAACCUCGGAACUUGUUGGAGGAUAGAAGCAAAGAUAAAGGAAUAAUGUGAUGAUUGCAGCCAUGGAGAUUCCCUCGCCGUCAAUAAUUGUAGGCGGCCCAAAAACAAAGGAAAACGAAAGCAUAAAAGAAAAGAAAAAAAAAACAAGGAUUGCGACACACCAAGGCGGCGACGGCGGCGGCGGCUACGGCGGUGGUCAACAAUGGUUGGCCAGAUUUGAGGUCAUGCUUCUAAACGGCGUCGUUCCGCAGGAAGCAGAAUAUAAGAAAAGGUGAAAGAAAAAUAAAGUCAAGCACGCAUGUCGUGGUCGAGCAGCUUGAGAACUAAAGGAAAAAGAAAAGAAUUGUAACACGUGAUUGGACCGACAGAUUGAAACGACCCAGUUUCAUCAUCAAAUGGGCCAAAAAAAAGUGG
rnacentral:lncRNA from 1 species